rnacentral:snoRNA from 14 species
GAUGGUGAUGAUGUGUUCUUGUGUGAGUAUGAGUAUGAUGUUCAUUGGCGUAGCUUUAAGCGUUUGGCUGAAUU